rnacentral:rRNA from 1 species
UGCGUAGGCGGAAGAAUAAGUCAGUGGUGAAAUCCUGCAGCUCAACUGUAGAACUGCCAUUGAAACUAUUUUUCUUGAGUAUAGUUGAGGUGGGCGGAAUGUGUCAUGUAGCGGUGAAAUGCUUAGAUAUGACACAGAACACCGAUUGCGUAGGCAGCUCACUAAACUAUCACUGACGCUGAGGCACGAAAGCGUGGGGAGCGAACAGGAUUAGAUACCCUGGUAGUCC